GGGCCUGUAGCUUAGCCAGGUAGAGCGUCCGGCUUUUAACCGG
rnacentral:tRNA from 1 species